rnacentral:tRNA from 1 species
GCCGACUUAGCUCAGUGGUAGAGCAGCUGUUUUGUAAACAGCAGGUCAUCAGUUCAAAUCUGAUAGUCGGCU